AGGCAGGUGAGUCUCUGAGUUCGAGACCAGCCUGGUCUACAAGAGCUAGUUCCAGGACAGCCUCCAAAGUCACAGAGAAACCCUGUCUCCAACCCUUCUCCUGCCUCCCCAACAACAACACCUGGGAUGCUAUGGGAACAGUCACCACCAGAGUUCCUCCAUCUUCCUAAGGAGUGGGAGCAGAGAACUCUAGUGGCAUGCCUGGUUGUCCCUACACCUUAGCAGAGGCAGUAAGAAUAUGGUCUCCACUCCCAGAAUUUAUUUUAAUGUGUGUGCAUGUGUAUAUGCAGUGGCUGAAGACCGAUAGUAAUGCCUUCUUCCAUUGCUCUCCACCAUAUUCAGCAAAACAGGGUUUCUCAUUGGAACCCAGAGUUCACCAACUCAGCUGAUCAAGCUAGCCACUUGCUCUGAGGAUCCCAUUUCCACCUCCCCAGUAUUGGGAUUAUAGAAGACUGCAAUGCCUACUCUGGACCUCAAGCUCGUGAGGCAAUCACUUUACCCACUGACCUAUCUUCCCCAGCCACCUAAAAUUAAUUCAUGAAUGAGUGUUAACUGCUGCUACCAUGUCUUAGUCUUGAAUCUGGGCCACAUCUAUAAUCUCAGUACUCGGAGGUGACUGCCAGCCUAGGCUACGUGGCAAGGUCCUGUCUCAAAAAAAUUAUGGUUUAAACAAACAAAUCUCUACUGCUAAUACAAGAAUAUUCAAAUUUCUUAGCUUGGGUGUGGUAGAACACGCCUGUAAUCUCAGAGUGAAGAACUCCAGAGCCUGAAACUCCAAGUCCAAGGUCUGGUCUACAUGAAGAAAAGCAGUGCUAAGUCUGGCUGGGCCUUCACAGCCCCUGGAGGAAGGUGAAGCAAAAAAGGCAACUACCUGGAUACUUUGAAGGAAGACUCCACACAUUUCUAUAAUCAGAAACUUAGUUUAUUUUGAAUAAACCACUCAACUUGGAGCAGAUGACAUCGCCUCAACUUUUCUUUGAAGAAAAACAAGGAUUCUGGUCAGUUCAUGAAAACACAUCUUACUCUACCCCUUGCAGGGCAAAACACCAAACCAAACCAAACAAACAAAACAAAACAAAAAAACCCAAAAAACAAAGAAACCACCUCUGCCUGACCUUUAAGAUGUUCCUGAUAAUGUUAACAAAGGAUGGCCUCCACAGGUGAAGCACGGCCAGCUCUGGCUGCCAGAGCCUCCUGCAGUGCCAAUGGUCAGGAUCACAGCCCAUGUAUAGGAGCAUGGCAGCUGUGCAGUUCAGAUAGUACCCAAGGGGGUUUAGGCUGCAGAGCUGCAACUCUGGUUCUGUGCGUGUCAUGGCCGCUGAAAGGACUUGAUGGAGAAGUCUGUGCACCAACACAGAAUUCACAUGCCACCCCUGGGCCUGCAGCAGGAAUGAAUACUCCUUGUUUACAAUGAGCUCCCACUUUUAUCUUGGGUUCAAUUACUGUAUACCAAAUUACUUCUCCCAAUCCACCCCACCAUCUCUCAUUUGUCGGGGACAACAUGAAGAGACAAAACCUGAGAGGUGAAAGAAUGUGCAGCUGGCCAACUACCCCAGCAGUCACAGCUGUCACCUGUCUUAAAGAACAACUCAAUUUUACAGCUUUACAUGGUACCUAGGUAAUUGCUGACUGGAGGUGAAAUGUAUGAAUAUCAAAGAGUCUGCAUCAUAAUAUUCACAGAUUUUUCUCUAUGGGCUCUCCCAGGAGUCCAAGGAGGCCCUGUCAAGUAUUGACAGCUCUGCCAGUCUCAGAGGGGAGGCACUGAACAAAGCCACAGAAACCCCAGAGAUCACAGAUCUAACUUUUCAAAGGCCCACAGGACCAGGUUCAAGACAGGAAGGACAGCAGGCAAGCUGCUUGACUGUACAAGAGCUGGUCCUUUCCUCUGGCCAGCCCCUUCUUGUAUAGGAACUGCCACCCCAAACCAGGAUUCUCCUGGGUUUAGACUCCCAGACCUUAGAGAUGGGGUUCUCUGACUGCUGCAACUAGGCAAAGGGGACACACCCCACCCCAGAGCCAGCUUCUGACCGCACUCCAGGUUAACAUAAUAGCUUGUGCAAACCUAGCUGUUGAGCCACAAGGCCCGUGCCCUUAGAAGGGCCAUGCUGAACUCUGACCUUGAUGUUCACAAGAUGCAGUAAGACAGUGUCAAACAUGGCCACAUGUGACACUGGUCAGAGUACACCACUUAAAUACCGGAUCAAAAGAAACGACCAAAGAAAAGGAAACUUAUUUGGGGGAACAAUUCCUUUCAAAUGUGGAUCUCUCAUCUUUACAGGACAAAAGGAAGCACCAGUCUCCCAGUCCGGAGGUUCGAAUGCCAACCUCUGCACUGCCGUGGGUUCUGGAUUGGUGGCCCAACUCACUAAGUCUCACAUUCAAUAAAAGCAAGCCCAUAGUGAAACCCUGCUAUGCUCCGUGCCCUUGCUGCUCAGCUACGGCAGAAGGUACUUGACUCUCUGUGCUCCAUGCCUGUUAUGCAGGCCAACUCAGUUCCUUACCAUCUGCCACACAUACUCUUCCCUUGGGACUCCAGGUAACGUCAAAGAGGAUGCUGGAAAGCAGGGACCACCCCAGGAACCCCGGCAGCACAGACAUUCUGAGGCUCGGUGGGUGGGCAGCAUCAAGUUACAUUCUAAGUAAAGUAGCUAGAGGGUAAACACUCCAAUGCCAAUUUAUUUUCAAAAGGGCUCUGUGUUAUCCUAUGGUUUGCCUUUCUUUCAAAUCGUACAACCUUUGAAAAUUACAUAAGUUGUAAUGAUCUAAUACUAUUAAUAGCCAUUCAGGAAAAAAAAAAGUUCCCUCCCU